rnacentral:rRNA from 1 species
CCCUCUGGUUCGGAAUAACUCAGGGAAACUUGAGCUAAUACCGGAUACGCCCUUUUGGGGAAAGGCUUGCUGCCGGAGGAUCGGCCCGCGUCUGAUUAGCUAGUUGGUGAGGUAACGGCUCACCAAGGCGACGAUCAGUAGCUGGUCUGAGAGGAUGAUCAGCCACACUGGGACUGAGACACGGCCCAGACUCCUACGGGAGGCAGCAGUGGGGAAUAUUGGACAAUGGGCGCAAGCCUGAUCCAGCCAUGCCGCGUGAGUGAUGAAGGCCUUAGGGUUGUAAAGCUCUUUUAUCCGGGACGAUAAUGACGGUACCGGAGGAAUAAGCCCCGGCUAACUUCGUGCCAGCAGCC